UGGGGAAUAUUGGACAAUGGGGGAAACCCUGAUCCAGCGACGCCGCGUGUGUGAAGAAGGCCUGCGGGUUGUAAAGCACUUUUAGUGGGGACAAAAAGCCAUUGACUAACACUCGAUGGUCUUGAUUUAACCCAAAGAAAAAGCACCGGCUAACUCUGUGCCAGCAGCCGCGGUAAUACAGAGGGUGCGAGCGUUAAUCGGAAUUACUGGGCGUAAAGCGCGCGUAGACGGUUUUGUAAGUCAGAUGUGAAAUCCCCGGGCUCAACCUGGGAACUGCAUUUGAAACUGCAUGGCUAGAGUAUGGUAGAGGGAAGUGGAAUUUCCGGUGUAGCGGUGAAAUGCGUAGAUAUCGGAAGGAACACCAGUGGCGAAAGCGACUUCCUGGGCCAAUACUGACGUUCAUGUGCGAAAGCGUGGGGAGCAAACAGGAUUAGAUACCCUGGUAGUCCACGCCAUAAACGAUGACAACUAGAUGUUGGGGGGGUCUGCCUCCCGGUGUCGCAGCUAACGCGUUAAGUUGUCCGCCUGGGGAGUACGGCCGCAAGGUG
rnacentral:rRNA from 1 species